rnacentral:rRNA from 1 species
AUUGAACGCUGGCGGCAGGCCUAACACAUGCAAGUCGAACGAGUGGCGGACGGGUGAGUAAUGUCUGGGAACCUGCCUGAUGGAGGGGGAUAACUACUGGAAACGGUAGCUAAUACCGCAUACCAUCGGAUGUGUCCAGAUGGGAUUAGCUCGUAGGUGGGGUAAAGGGUCACCUAGGCGACGACCCCUAGCUGGAUUGAGAGGAUGACCAGCUACACGGGAACUGAGACACGGUCCCGCAUCCGUCGUGAGGCAGCGGUGGGGAAUAUUUCAAAAUGUGCGCAAGACUAAUGCAGCAUUGCCGCGUGUAUGAAGAAGGCCUUCUGGUUGUAAAGUACUUUCAGCGAGGAGGCGUUAACCGCAGAAGAAGCACCGGCUAAAUCCGUGCCAGCAGCCGCGGUAAUAC